UGGAGGCUGAGCGUCUCGCGCGAGAGGCCCAGGACCAGAGGAUGGCUGAGAUGAUGAGGGUCCUCGCCGCUCUAGGGCAGCAUACAGGUGUGGACGUCACGAUGUCAGCUCCAGCGCCUCAGCUGCCGCCGCCGUUUAGUUCUACUCCUCAGUCGACAGCGGGAUCCAAUAACCCGCCUCGUACGUCACCGGAUCCUGGAGCCUUCGACACACCACCCUCGACGCAGAGGCAGGACGGUUGGGGAGGAUGGUGAGUUCUCGCAGCCCUACGGUCCGUACGUGUCGGCGGUUUGGAACUUUGGUUCGAUUUGGUGAACUUGUGGACUACUGGAUGUACAUACAUGAUGUUCGUGAUAUAUAUAUGUGAUGUUCGUGAGAUGUAUGUGCUCGUUGUGGACUCUGUGUGUGUGAUGGUAUAUAUAUAUGUAUCUGUCUAUUGUCUAGAUGCAAAUAAACAAACAAAAAAAA